rnacentral:misc_RNA from 1 species
UUCAACGGUGUGGUCGCGGCCUCCGGGGGCUCCCCCCGGGCGGUAGAGGUAACACUCUCACGCGCCACAUGUCUGAAUCCUUUUUAUACGAGCACCUUUCGUUCUCCUUCGGUGGGGCAACCUGCCGUUGGAACUUAUCAAAACCUUUUUUUGCAUCUAGCAUUACCUGUUCAGAUACAAACAAUCGUUACAACUUUCAACAAUGGAUCUCUUGGCUCUGGCAUCGAUGAAGAACGCAGCGAAAUGCGAUAAGUAGUGUGAAUUGCAGAAUUCAGUGAAUCAUCGAAUCUUUGAACGCACAUUGCGCCCCUUGGUAUUCCAUGGGGCAUGCCUGUUCGAGCGUCAUCUACACCCUCAAGCUCUGCUUGGUGUUGGGCGUCUGUCCCGCCUCUGCGCGUGGACUCGCCCCAAAUUCAUUGGCAGCGGUCUUUGCCUCCUCUCGCGCAGCACAUUGCGCUUCAGAGGGGCGUGGGCCGCGUCCACGAAGCAACAUUACCGUCUUUGACCUCGGAUCAGGUAGGGAUACCCGCUGAACUUAAGCAUAUCAAUAA